CCAAGAGGCGUAUGAACGACCAAAACUGCUAAUUUUAGUUACCAAAAAUAAAAUUUUUGGGCCUCUUACU
rnacentral:tRNA from 1 species